GGACCUCGGGAGGGAAGAGGUCGCUGGGACAAGUCCUGUCAGGCUGCGGGGAGCCCUUCCCGGACACUGCUGGCUCCUGGAACUGACUUGCCUCCUCACGCACACCCCACUCAACAUGAAGAUGACAAGGAUGAAGACCUUUAUGAUGAUCCAUUCCCACUUACUGAAUAGAUGAAGCUUCUUGGUGAUGUAACAGUCUGUGGAAACUCCCACAGGACAAAUGCAGAAAGGAAGGACCUAGAUCACUGGAUGGUCAACGUUGCCCCUUGCACAGCAGCAAAGGCCUAUACAAAUUUUUUGAGUAGCUUUAUCUAGUGGUUCAGCUACUGGGAAUAACUUGUAAAAUCCCCUGGAUAGUCAACAGCAUUGGGGCUUGCUUUGUAAACAGAGACCUGACCUACUUAAUUCUUCCCAGAGGUUGGAAAAAGAGGCUGGACUCACACAGACAUGAAACCUUGGCUUAAUUGGACACUAAUUACUCAUAAGAGAUCUGUUUACCCGAACUUCCCCUAGACCAAGCUCAGUAUAAAAUGAGAGGAUGCAUAAAGAAGCAAGAUAUUUAGAGGAAAAUGUCACAAAUACAUUUAUCAGUCCCAAAAGUCCUUUUUUUUCCCCAGAAGUGAUGUUGCUAAUUGCACAAAAAUAAACAAUACAGGGGUUGAUAAAUUCCACAUUUAAGGGCUGAGGAUAGUGUCCCUACAUUUCUAAGAAGCUGUAUAUUUGGAAAUGAAUACAAUUGAAAGUAAGGAUAAGUGGCAUUCUAAAGCCAAUUGGAUAACUUGAAUGAACAAGCAGAAUUUACCAUAUUUUGAUAUGUUUCUUUUUGAUUAAAGUAUCUGUAAAGGAAACAAAUUAUAGUAUUGCUAUAGAUUUUAUUACUGAACAAGAAAAAAAGGCUUGAUGUUGUGCAUUUCCUUUUGGCCUUUGGUCUUGGCUGAUAUUGGGCAUCCAAUGAGCUUCUUUGUCUUGAAUGAAGACUUAAGAGGGAGUGAAAAGUAGGAAGAGCAUCAAAACUUCUUUGCAGGAUGUAAUCAAACCACCUACUACUUAUUGUCUUACGAUCCAUUUAUUCAACAAAUGGAACAUCUCAAUUGCUUGAUGCUAUUACAGACACUAGGUAUAGUCUUAGAAAAACAAAUUGCUGUUUUUAUAUAGCUUGUGUUAUGGGUUGAUGUAGUACAGUCAAAAUUAUUUAAAUAAAGGAAGAUGUGAGGAAGACUUUGAACUUAGAAA
ensembl:lncRNA ETS2-AS1 ETS2 antisense RNA 1